GUUCAUUACUCUGUGUUCCGUUCCCUGUUUUGGAAUGGUCUUCUGGGUGCAUCCAUAUUUACUAGAUUAUGAAUCUUCUGCAAGGGAGCUGAGGACUGCAGCCAGCAGUCCAGCUGCAGCCCGCCUGGUGCCCAAGAAUGAAGAAAGAACAUACUAUCAAUCUGCUGAGACUAUGGAUCUGGAUAGAUUUUAAGGAAAUAGUAACUAAUGGCAGAAAACUGUAAAGUGUGCUUCAUAACAGAAGGAGAAAAUAACCCACUACCUCU